AUUUGUAAGUGGAAAUAUUUUAGUAAUUCUAUAGUUUUUAGUAAAUCUCUUGGGUUUAUUAGCCUUGGUCUUAAAUUGAGAGAACGAACGUUUGAUUUUUUUCUUUCUUCGGAGAUGGGCUCUAUAGAACAUGGAGCAUUUACGUAAUCGUUAAUCUAUAUCCACCGAGAGUAACUCUUUGACGUGCGGAACUAGACUGUGAUCAGUAAGAUUAUGUUGCUUAAAACAGAUAUACAUGGAUUAAUUCUAUACUGGAAUAAAAUAAAGAAAUCCGUGAUCCCGGCGACAAUGUUAAAACAGAUUAAAUACCUUAAAAUUCAAUUAUUUGGCUUUAACUGAUCUUAUUCAUGGAUUACUUAAUAUAUAUUGUAAUUGAUUACUAAUACAUUUUUAAUGAAUAAACAUUUUCGUAAUUUA
rnacentral:lncRNA from 1 species